rnacentral:rRNA from 1 species
GAUGAACGCUGGCGGCGUGCCUAACACAUGCAAGUCGAACGAAGCACAUACGACGGAACUCUUCGGAGGGAAGAUGUAUGUGACUGAGUGGCGGACGGGUGAGUAACGCGUGGGUAACCUGCCCUAUACAGGGGGACAACAGUUGGAAACGACUGCUAAUACCGCAUAAGCGCACAGUACCGCAUGGUACAGAGCGAAAAAACUCCGGUGGUAUAGGAUGGGCCCGCGUCUGAUUAGUUAGUUGGCGGUGUAACGGACCACCAAGACGACGAUCAGUAGCCGGCUUGAGAGAGUGAACGGCCACAUUGGGACUGAGAUACGGCCCAGACUCCUACGGGAGGCAGCAGUGGGGAAUAUUGGGCAAUGGACGCAAGUCUGACCCAGCAACGCCGCGUGAAGGAAGAAGGCUUUCGGGUUGUAAACUUCUUUGACAGGGGAAGAGCAGAAGACGGUACCCUGAAAACAAGCCACGGCUAACUACGUG